AAAUCUGUGUUGGAGGAAGGCAUAGAAUGAGUGGAAAGCGGGUGGAAAAAAAUACAGUAAAGGGGCCCAACGGCUGCAAUGGACAUUUAUGAGAGCAAACUAAGCAACUAUAGUGCAGUGGGGAGGAGGGAAGAAAUGAGAGAAAAAGAGGGUCAGAUUAC